rnacentral:rRNA from 1 species
CCAAUAGCGUAUAUUAAAGUUGUUGCAGUUAAAAAGCUCGUAGUUGAAUUUCGGGGUCAGUAGGUCGGUCGUGCCACUGGUAUGAACUGGUUUUACUGAUUCCUCCCUCUUGAAGAACUGUAAUGCCAUUAAUUUGGUGUUGCAGGGAAUCAGGACUGUUACUUUGAAAAAAUUAGAGUGUUUAAAGCAGGCUUUAGCUUGAAUACAUUAGCAUGGAAUAAUGAAAUAGGACGUUUGAUCCUAUUUUGUUGGUUUCUAGGAUUGACGUAAUGAUUAAUAGGGAUAGUUGGGGGCAUUAGUAUUAAAUUGUCAGAGGUGAAAUUCUUGGAUUUAUUGAAGACUAACUACUGCGAAAGCAUUUGCCAAGGAUGUUUUCAUUAAUCAAGAACGAAAGUUAGGGGAUCGAAGACGAUCAGAUACCGUCGUAGUCUUAACCAUAAACUAUGCCGACUAGGGAUCGGAUGAUGUUAAUUUUUUAAUGACUCAUUCGGCGCCUUACA